UAAGGAAUAUUGGUCAAUGGACGCAAGUCUGAACCAGCCAUGCCGCGUGGAGGAUUAAGGCCCUCUGGGUUGUAAACUCCUUUUAUCUGGGAAGAAAUGUACUUUUUCUUGAGUACUUGACGGUACCAGAGGAAUAAGCACCGGCUAACUCCGUGCCAGCAGCCGCGGUAAUACGGAGGGUGCAAGCGUUAUCCGAAUUCACUGGGUUUAAAGGGUGCGUAGGUGGGCAGGUAAGUCAGUGGUGAAAUCUCCGGGCUUAACCCGGAAACUGCCGUCGAUACUAUUUGUCUUGAAUAUUGUGGAGGUAAGCGGAAUAUGUCAUGUAGCGGUGAAAUGCUUAGAUAUGACAUAGAACACCAAUUGCGAAGGCAGCUUACUACAUAUAAAUUGACGCUGAGGCACGAAAGCGUGGGGAUCAAACA
rnacentral:rRNA from 1 species